UCCACUCUCACCUGCCCCGCCAGGAAUAUGCAGACACCUGAGCACAAUAGCCCUUCCAUGGAAGUGGACUUGUGUUUUGCAAGGCAGGGCGAUCUCAGCUUGGGUAUACUCAUUCUAGCAUAGCUUCCCUGUAGUGUUGCUCAACUCGUGUGUUAGGAAUAGCUCUGCCCAUUCCCAGUGGCAGCAAGAGGGCAGGAGGGACAGGGGAGACUGAGCAGGCAGGUCUCUAAAUGACCUCAAGUCACCACAACCACCAACCCACUCAGGUGCUGAAGGGAAUGGGAAAAUCCUCCUAUGACCCAGUGAGCACUUCCAAUAAAGGUGAGCACUGACAGCCAGGCAGGAGGCGGGUCAUCCUGACAGCAAGUGGCUAGGAGAGCAUUGAGAUGUUGUGGAAACUGGGAUUCCAGAUUGGCAGCUCUGAGUCAGCCUCUGAUUGGCAAGGGACAGGUCCCCCUUCCGUAAGGUUUUCCACUUCCCACUGGGCCCUGCUCAGGUCAGGCGGGCUGGAGGGGCGAGAGCUCAGCACUGGCCCUGGGGUCUUGGCACUAUUUCAAAGGCUGGCUUCAGAUGCUUAUCAGCUGGCUCUUGCACAAGGCCUGGGCGGAGAUCGCAUCAGAGAUGUGAAAAAUGCCAGGGAAGCCAAAACAACUUUCUUUAAAUAGGGCUCAGGCAAUAGGCAGGGUGCUUACACUCCACCUUGGCCUUGUGAAGGAAAAUGCAAACAUUAGCCCAGAGUUGGAGAAGCAAACAGGCACCUUAGAGGAAGACAGAGAACUGACUCCAAAAGACGCCAAGACACAGGGAAUGCAAAGAAAGCUAUCCACACCCUUCUCCUAACCAUCUUGACCUGCAAAUGACACGUCAUUUCUGAUCACACUCUGUAGGAGAAGCUAUUGCAUGACCCCACCUACAUGCACGAAGAGCUAGGAGAUGGAAUCCUGUCUGGACAGCCACUUCAGCCCAUGGAAAGUGAAGCACAGUCUGUUGGUGGACAACUAGCUCUCCACCCACCUUUGAAUUUCCUGUAACAGUUAGUUACCGUCCAUGGCCCAGGAAAAAUGUCUUUGCCCCCCCAGUUUCAGUUCCUAACAGGACAAAGAUUUUCAGAUCUAGAUGACCUAUCAGUAAAUGGCUAUACCUAA